GCUAAACAAACCGUUUAGAGGAAACAGAAGUGGCGAAACCACCUGGCAUCAAGUUCGUCAGCACUUAUACCAUUAUACCUCUCAUUCAGAAGGUUAAUAGAGCUGAAAAGUGGAGGACCAUCUUAUCAGAUCCCUGAUUAUGCAGGAUUGUAUAAAUACUGAGGAAACAGUGAAGGUCACCACAUACCUGCUAUGAGAAACAUUCUUACAGCACUUCAGCGUUCAAUUUUACACAGGACAGAUAUUUUGUAAGUUAAUCCAACUAGCCAUGGCAAUGUUCGGGAAGGUGCUGGAGC